AACGAACGCUGGCGGCAGGCUUAACACAUGCAAGUCGAACGGGUGUAGCAAUACAUCAGUGGCAGACGGGUGAGUAACACGUGGGAACCUUCCUAGGGGUACGGAACGACUCAGGGAAACUUGAGCUAAUACCGUAUACGUCCGUGAGGAGAAAGAUUUAUCGCCCUUAGACGGGCCCGCGUCGGAUUAGCUAGUUGGUGGGGUAACGGCCUACCAAGGCGACGAUCCGUAGCUGAUCUUAGAGGAUGAUCAGCCACACUGGGACUGAGACACGGCCCAGCCUCCGACGGGAGGCAGCAGUGGGGAAUCUUGGACAAUGGGCGCAAGCCUGGUCCAGCCAUGCCGCGUGAGUGAAGAAGGUCUUCGGAUUGUAAAGCUCUUUUGCCAGGGACGAUAAUGACGGUACCCACAGAAGAAGCCCCGGCUAACUUCGUGCCAGCCGCCGCGGUAAUAC
rnacentral:rRNA from 1 species